rnacentral:rRNA from 1 species
AUUGAACGCUGGCGGCAGGCCUAACACAUGCAAGUAGAACGCAGUUGCGAACGGGUGAGUAACGCGUAGGUAACUGCCUCAUAGCGGGGGAUAACUAUUGGAAACGAUAGCUAAUACCGCAUACUGUGAGAUGGACCUGAGUUGUAUUAGCUAGUUGGGGAGGUAAAGGCUCACCAAGGCGACGACACAUAGCCGACCGGUGAGGGGGAUCGGCCAAACUGGGACUGAGUCAAGGGCCAGACUCCUACUGGAGGCAGCAGUAGGGAAUCUUCGGAAAUGGACGGAAGUCUGACCGAGCAACGCCGCGUGAGUGAAGAAGGUUUUCGGAUCGUAAAGCUCUGUUGUUAGAGAAGCGUUAACUAACCAGAAAGGGACGGCUAACUACGUGCCAGCAGCCGCGGUAAUUC